rnacentral:rRNA from 1 species
GGCGUUAAUGAGCGAGGCAAAGGUCGAGUGAGAAUGAGCGAGAGGGUGAUGAGAGCGCGCGGAACGCGGUGCGGCGUAAGUCCGAUCAACUUACCAUAGUCGAGGAUAGCCCAGCAGAAUUAGGAUUAAUACCGGCAUAAUAAUAUUGAAUGGCCGAUGCAGUUAGAUAUGUGAAAGGGAUUUAUCGGAUAUGGAUGGCAUGCGUGAGGAUUGAGCUGAGGUUGGUGAGGAUAACGGCGCUCACCAAGGCUAACGAUCCUUAGGGGCUUCUGAGAGGACGUAACCCCCACACUGGCACUGAGAGAUAUCGGGCCAGACUCCUACGGGAUGGCAGCAUAGGGAUAUUGGGCAAUGGAGGCAACUCUGACCCAGCCAUGCCGCGUGCAGGAAGACGGUCCUCUGGAUUGUAAACUGCUUUUGAAUGGGAAGAAUGUGUGGCUUGCGAGCAUAAUGAACGGUAGCCUAGAAUAACCACGGCUAACUACGUGCCAGCAGCCGCGUAAUAUACGAUAGGUGGCGAAGCGAUUAUCCGGAUUUAUUGGCGGUUUAAAAGGGUGCGUCAGCGAGCUUAAUAAGUCGGUGGUUAAAAGUAGCAGCUUAACUGUUUAUACAAUGCCAUUGCCGAUACUGUUGAGCCUUGAGAUAUCUUGGAGGCACUAGAAAUAUUCCGGUGUAGCGGUGAAAUGCAUAGAUACCGGAAGGAAUACAAAUAUGCGAAGGCAGGUUGCUACAAAACUGACGCUGAUGCCACGAAAAGCGUGGGGAUCAAAACAGGAUUAAGAUACCGCUGGUAGUCCAGCAGCCGUAAACGAUGAUUACUCAGUGUUGGGGUUUAAGCCUCAGUGACCAAAGGGAAACCGAUUAAGUAAUCACACCUGGGGAGUACGCCGCAACGGUGAAACAUCAAAGAAUUCGACGGGGUCCGCACAAGCCGGAUGGGGCAUGAUGGUUUAAUUCGAUGAUACGCCGAAAGGAACCUAUAACCUAGGCUAGGAUGUGAGGCGAAUGUUUUCAGAGAUGGAAUAAGUCAGCAAUGAACGCGAAAACAAGGUGCUGGCAGGCCGUCGUCAGUUCGUGCCGUGAGGUGUGGAGUUUAAGUCCCGCAACGAACGCACCCUAUAAUCUGUUGCCAGCCAUGUCAUAUGGGAGACUCAGGUUAGACUGCCUACGCAAGUAGAGAGGAAGGAGGGGAAGAACGUCAGGUCCAUCAUGGCCCUUACGCCUAGGGCGACACACGUGCUACAAUGGUAGGUACAGAGUGCAGCGAGCUAGCAAUAAGUAAAGCGAAUCACAAAAGACUAUCACAAGUUCGAAUUGGGGUCGCAACUCGAACCCUAUGAAGGCUGGAAUCGCUAGUAAUCGCAUAUCAGCCAGAUGCGGUAAUACGUUUCCCGGACCUUGUACACACCGCCCGUCAAGCCAUGGGAAGUUGGGUAAGACCUGAAGCGGAAGGUUAAAGACUUCGUUAGGGUAGAACCAGUGACUGGGGCUAAAAGUCGUAACAGGUAAGCCGUAACCCGGAAGGUGUGGCUU